rnacentral:rRNA from 1 species
CUACGGGUGGCAGCAGUGGGGAAUAUUGCACAAUGGAGGAAACUCUGAUGCAGCAACGCCGCGUGGAGGAUGACACUUUUCGGAGCGUAAACUCCUUUUAUAUAGGAAGAUAAUGACGGUACUAUAUGAAUAAGCACCGGCUAACUCCGUGCCAGCAGCCGCGGUAAUACGGAGGGUGCAAGCGUUACUCGGAAUCACUGGGCGUAAAGAGCGUGUAGGCGGGUUAAUAAGUCAGAAGUGAAAUCCUAUGGCUCAACCAUAGAACUGCUUUUGAAACUGUUAACCUAGAGUGUGGGAGAGGUAGAUGGAAUUUCUGGUGUAGGGGUAAAAUCCGUAGAGAUCAGAAGGAAUACCGAUUGCGAAGGCGAUCUACUGGAACAUAACUGACGCUGAGACGCGAAAGCGUGGGGAGCAAACAGGGUUAGAUACCCGAGUAGUC